GGGGAAUACAGACCAAAAUACACCUGCUACCAGGAAGGGUGAAUACAGACCAAAAUACACCUGCGGCAAGACAAGCAUGCAUAGUGUCCAUAUAACGACAGUACCAUCUAAUACAUGACCACUUCUCACGCCAGGAUAUACACACUAUCACUACUUGCAUGUAUUUCAGACAAACGUUAACUAAAUACAUAAAUACAAAAAUGUGCAGUAUAUACAAAAGCCAUGUAAAUGAUCUCUAUU